GACGAACGCUGGCGGCGUGCUUAACACAUGCAAGUCGAACGGAAAGGCCCUGCUUUUGUGGGGUGCUCGAGUGGCGAACGGGUGAGUAACACGUGAGUAACCUGCCCUUGACUUUGGGAUAACUUCAGGAAACUGGGGCUAAUACCGGAUAGGAGCUCCUGCUGCAUGGUGUGGGUUGGAAAGUUUCGGCGGUUGGGGAUGGACUCGCGGCUUAUCAGCUUGGUGGUGUGGUAGUGGCUUACCAAGGCAUUGACGGGUAGCCGGCCUGAGAGGGUGACCGGCCACAAUGGGACUGAGAUACGGACCAGACUGCUACGGGAGGCAGCAGUGGGGAAUAUUGCACAAUGGGCGGAAGCCUGAUGCAGCAACGCCGCGUGCGGGAUGACGGCCUUCGGGUUGUAAACCGCUUUCGCCUGUGACGAAGCGUGAGUGACGGUAAUGGGUAAAGAAGCACCGGCUAACUACGUG
rnacentral:rRNA from 1 species